CCUACGGGAGGCAGCAGUGAGGAAUAUUGGUCAAUGGACGCAAGUCUGAACCAGCCAUGCCGCGUGAAGGAUGAAGGCGUUUGCGUUGUAAACUUCUUUUACCAGGGAAGCGGUACCUGGGGAAUAAGCACCGGCUAACUCCGUGCCAGCAGCCGCGGUAAUACGGAGGGUGCAAGCGUUAUCCGGAUUUACUGGGUUUAAAGGGUGUGUAGGCGGGCUAUUAAGUCCGGGGUGAAAUCCCGAAGCUCAACUUCGGAACUGCCCUGGAUACUAUUAGUCUUGAAUUAUGUUGAGGUUGGCGGAAUAUAACAUGUAGCGGUGAAAUGCAUAGAUAUGUUAUAGAACACCGAUUGCGAAGGCAGCUGACUAACAAUAUUGACGCUGAGGCACGAAAGCGUGGGGAUCAAACAGGAUUAGAUACCCGAGUAGUC
rnacentral:rRNA from 1 species